UAGGGAAUCUUCGGCAAUGGACGAAAGUCUGUCCGAGCAACGCCGCGUGAGUGAAGAAGGUUUUCGGAUCGUAAAACUCUGUUGUUAGAGAAGAACAAGGACGUUAGUAACUGAACGUCCCCUGACGGUAUCUAACCAGAAAGCCACGGCUAACUACGUGCCAGCAGCCGCGGUAAUACGUAGGUGGCAAGCGUUGUCCGGAUUUAUUGGGCGUAAAGCGAGCGCAGGCGGUUUCUUAAGUCUGAUGUGAAAGCCCCCGGCUCAACCGGGGAGGGUCAUUGGAGACUGGGAGACUUGAGUGCAGAAGAGGAGAGUGGAAUUCCAUGUGUAGCGGUGAAGUGCGUAGAUGUAUGGAGGAACGCCAGUGGCGAAGGCGGCUCUCUGGUCUGUAACUGACGCUGGGGCUCGAAAGCGUGGGGAGCAAACAGG
rnacentral:rRNA from 1 species